rnacentral:rRNA from 1 species
UGAGUGCGAGCUGCUACGGCAGCGAAGUGGGUGACGUCAAGCUUCCAAGAAAAGCCCUAUACCCGUUAAGGCAUGAUUGCCUGUACCCGAAACCGACACAGGUGGGGUGGUAGAGAACACCGAGGGGCGCGAGGUAACUCUCUCUAAGGAACUCGGCAAAAUGGCCCCGUAACUUCGGGAGAAGGGGUGCCACCGCAAGGUGGUCGCAGUGAAGAGGCCCAGGCGACUGUUUACCAAAAACACAGGUCUCCGCUAAGUCGCAAGACGAUGUAUGGGGGCUGACGCCUGCCCAGUGCCGGAAGGUUAAGGAAGCUGGUCAGCGUAAGCGAAGCUGGCGACUGAAGCCCCGGUGAACGGCGGCCGUAACAAUAACGGUCCUAAGGUAGCGAAAUUCCUUGUCGGGUAAGUUCCGACCCGCACGAAAGGCGUAACGAUCUGGGUGCUGUCUCGGAGAGAGGCUCGGCGAAAUAGAAUUGUCUGUGAAGAUGCGGGCUACGUGCACCCGGACAGAAAGACCCUAUGAAGCUUUACUGUAGCUUGGUUUGUGCCCGGGCUCGCAAUGCGCAGGAUAGGUGGGAGGCUUUGAUCAUCGGCUUGCGGGUCGAUGUGAGCCACUGGUGAGAUACCACUCUUUGCGAGCUAGGGUUCUAACGGCCACCCGUGAUCCGGGGGCCGGACAGUAUCAGGUGGGCAGUUUGACUGGGGCGGUCGCCUCCUAAAAGGUAACGGAGGCGCGCAAAGGUUCCCUCAGGCUGGUUGGAAAUCAGCCGACGAGUGUAAAGGCAGAAGGGAGCUUGACUGUGAGACCUACAAGUCGAACAGGGACGAAAGUCGGCCUUAGUGAUCCGACGGUUCUGAGUGGAAGGGCCGUCGCUCAACGGAUAAAAGUUACUCUAGGAUAACAGGCUGAUCUCCCCCAAGAGUUCACAUCGACGGGGAGGUUUGGCACCUCGAUGUCGGCUCAUCGCAACCUGGGGCUGAAGUCGGUCCCAAGGGUUGGGCUGUCCGCCCAUUAAAGCGGUACGCGAGCCGGGUUCAGAACGUCGUGAGACAGUUCGGUCCAUAUCCGGUGCAUGCGCAGGAAUAUUGAGAGGAGUUCUCCCUAGUACGAGAGGACCGGGAGGAACGCACCUCUGGUGUACCAGUUAUCGUGCCAACGGUAAACGCUGGGUAGCCAUGUGCGGAGAGGAUAACCGCUGAAAGCAUCUAAGUGGGAAGCCCACCUCAAGAUGAGUAUUCCCAUGGCAUAAGCCAGUAAGGUCACGGGAAGAACACCCGUUGAUAGGCUCUAC